rnacentral:rRNA from 1 species
GGGAAUAUUGCACAAUGGGCGCAAGCCUGAUGCAGCCAUGCCGCGUGAAUGAUGAAGGCCUUAGGGUUGUAAAAUUCUUUCGCCAAGGAUGAUAAUGACACUACUUGGUAAAGAAGCCCCGGCUAACUUCGUGCCAGCAGCCGCGGUAAUACGAAGGGGGCUAGCGUUGUUCGGAAUUACUGGGCGUAAAGCGCGCGUAGGCGGUUUAUUAAGUCAGAUGUGAAAGCCCCGGGCUCAACCUGGGAAUUGCAUUUGAGACUGGUAGGCUAGAGUGUGGUAGAGGUGAGUGGAAUUUCAGGUGUAGCGGUGAAAUGCGUAGAGAUCUGAAGGAACAUCAGUGGCGAAGGCGACUCACUGGGCCAUUACUGACGCUGAGGUGCGAAAGCAAG